UACGUAGGCAGCAAGCGUUGUUCGGAGUUACUGGGCGUAAAGGGUGUGUAGGCGGUUUUCUAAGUCUGGUGUGAAAUCUCCCGGCUCAACUGGGAGGGUGCGCCGAAAACUGGAAGGCUAGAGUGCGGGAUGGGAGAGUGGAAUUCCUGGUGUAGCGGUGAAAUGCGUAGAUAUCAGGAGGAACACCUGUGGUGUAGACGGCUCUCUGGACCGCAACUGACGCUGAGACACGAAAGCGUGGGUAGCAAGCAGG
rnacentral:rRNA from 1 species